CAGCCGCCACGGUAAUACGUAGGGUGCAAGCGUUAAUCGGAAUUACUGGGCGUAAAGCGUGCGCAGGCGGUUAUAUAAGACAGAUGUGAAAUCCCCGGGCUCAACCUGGGAACUGCAUUUGUGACUGUAUAGCUAGAGUACGGCAGAGGGGGAUGGAAUUCCGCGUGUAGCAGUGAAAUGCGUAGAUAUGCGGAGGAACACCGAUGGCGAAGGCAAUCCCCUGGGCCUGUACUGACGCUCAUGCACGAAAGCGUGGGGAGCAAACAGGAUUAGAUACCCCAGUAGUCCCUGUCUCUUAUAA
rnacentral:rRNA from 1 species